UCCUGGGUGGCUCAGUCAGUGGAGUGUCUGACUUCAGCUCAGAUCAUGGUCUCAUUGUUCGUGGGUUCAAGCCCCACAUUGGGCU
rnacentral:tRNA from 1 species